CUCAAUAAGCAAGAUAUGGUUAAAACACAUUUAGGUAACGCUCUGCCGUCUCUGUCCCUCCUGCCGCCCUCAACUGUGGAGCUGAGCGCCAAGAGAAGCGCCACGCUGCUGUGUCUGGCCAACAAGGGCUUCCCGUCCGACUGGAGCCUGCAGUGGAAGAUCGACGGCAGCUCCAAGAGCAGCAGCGUCACCAAGACCCCCGGCAUCCUGGAGAGCGACGGCACCUACAGCUGGAGCAGCACCCUGACGCUGUCCGAGGCCGACUGGAAAUCGCUGCACUCCGUGACCUGCGAGGCCAGCCAGGGGUCCCAGGCUACUGUCCAGAAGACCCUGAACAAAUCCGACUGCCCAGAGUAGCCCACACAGAGGGCAGCGCUGCAUUGCUGAUGGCUGUGUUCUGUUUUAGCUUUAUCUUUGUGACUGUAACCUUAUUGCGCCCCUCAGUACUCAGACAUAUUUGUUAGCAACGUUUUAGACGCGCUUAGCUUCUCCAUCAUCCGCUGUCCAUGUGUGCGUGUUGUUUAGUCCUGUUGUACGUGCUGUUAGUGAGAGAAAAAUAAUAGUAAUAAAGAAUUUUUGAAUCAUGAAA